UACGUAAGGGAGCAAGCGUUGUUCGGAUUUACUGGGCGUAAAGGGCGCGUAGGCGGCAAUUUCAAGUCAGCUGUGAAAUCUCCGGGCUUAACUCGGAACGGUCAGCUGAUACUGCUUUCUAGAGUGCAGAAGGGGCAAUCGGAAUUUCUUGGUGUAGCGGUGAAAUGCGUAGAUAUCAAGAGGAACACCUGAGGUAAGACGGGUUGCUGGGCUGACACUA
rnacentral:rRNA from 1 species